rnacentral:rRNA from 1 species
UACGGAGGGGGCAAGCGUUGUUCGGAAUUACUGGGCGUAAAGGGCGCGCAGGCGGCUGCUCAAGUCAGGCGUGAAAGGCCUGGGCUCAACCCGGGAAUUGCGCUUGAGACUGGGCUGGCUUGAGUGCGGGAGAGGAUGGUGGAAUUCCGAUGGUAGCGGUGAAAUGCGCAGAUAUCAGGAAGAACACCUAUGGCGAAGGCAGCACUCUGGGACGGUACUGACGCUGAGACGCGAAAGCGUGGGGAGCGAACAGG